UGGGGAAUAUUGGACAAUGGGCGAAAGCCUGAUCCAGCAAUACCGCGUGUGUGAAGAAGGCCUGAGGGUUGUAAAGCACUUUCAAUUGGGAGGAAAACCUACCGGUCAAUACCCGGUAGCUUGACAUUACCUUUAGAAGAAGCACCGGCUAACUCCGUG
rnacentral:rRNA from 1 species